rnacentral:lncRNA from 1 species
AAAAUAGUACCGUAUGGAUAAUCCUUCCACUAAGCAAGUUCCCAGGAAAGAUUGGAGGGGUCACACUGGUCCCGCUUAAAACCCAAUCUCCUAGACAGAACUUCUUAGGCCAUAUCUAUCCAUCGUACUGUCUUUUUGUAUAUACAACCAUUUGCUAGCUUUGUUGCGGCUUUCCUUUACAAGUGAUCUGGGGUAUCCCGGUUUUAUACCUGAUUUCUCAACAUCUGGCGAGACUACCAGUUCUUAGAUUCGUCAAGAUUGGUCUUCGUCAAUUU